rnacentral:rRNA from 1 species
CCCUUAGAUGUUCUGGGCCGCACGCGCGCUACACUGAUGCAUUCAACGAGUCUAAAACCUGCUCUGAUAGGGGUGGGUAAUCUUUUGAAUGUGCAUCGUGAUUGGGAUAGAUGAUUGCAAUUUUUCAUCUUCAACGAGGAAUGCCUAGUAAACGCAAGUCAUCAGCUUGCAUUGAUUACGUCCCUGCCCUUUGUACACACCGCCCGUCGCUCCUACCGAUUGAAUGAUCCGAUGAAUAUCAUGGAUUGAGGAUGCAAGUAGGUUAGCCUAUCUUCAUCUUCGAGAAGUGAAGUAAAUCUUAUCAUUUAGAGGAAGGAGAAGGCGUAACA